rnacentral:rRNA from 1 species
UACGUAGGGUGCAGGCGUUAAUCGGAAUUACUGGGCGUAAAGCGUGCGCAGGCGGCUUCCUAAGUCAGAUGUGAAAUCCCCGGGCUCAACCUGGGAACUGCGUUUGAAACUGGGAGGCUAGAGUGCGGCAGAGGGGGGUGGAAUUCCACGUGUAGCAGUGAAAUGCGUAGAUAUGUGGAGGAACACCGAUGGCGAAGGCAGCCCCCUGGGCCAGCACUGACGCUCAUGCACGAAAGCGUGGAGAGCAAACAGG